UACGUAGGGUGCGAGCGUUGUCCGGAAUUAUUGGGCGUAAAGAGCUCGUAGGCGGUCUGUCGCGUCUGCUGUGAAAACCCGAGGCUCAACCUCGGGCCUGCAGUGGGUACGGGCAGACUAGAGUGCGGUAGGGGAGAAUGGAAUUCCUGGUGUAGCGGUGGAAAUGCGCAGAUAUCAGGAGGAACACCGAUGGCGAAGGCAGUUCUCUGGGCCGUAACUGACGCUGAGGAGCGAAAGCGUGGGGGAGCGAACAGGA
rnacentral:rRNA from 1 species